GACGAACGCUGGCGGCGUGCCUAAUACAUGCAAGUAGAACGCUGAAGAGAGGAGCUUGCUCUUCUUGGAUGAGUUGCGAACGGGUGAGUAACGCGUAGGUAACCUGCCUUGUAGCGGGGGAUAACUAUUGGAAACGAUAGCUAAUACCGCAUAACAAUGGAUGACACAUGUCAUUUAUUUGAAAGGGGCAAUUGCUCCACUACAAGAUGGACCUGCGUUGUAUUAGCUAGUAGGUGAGGUAAUGGCUCACCUAGGCGACGAUACAUAGCCGACCUGAGAGGGUGAACGGCCACACUGGGACUGGGACACGGCCCAGACUCCUACGGGAAGGAGCAGUAGGGAAUCUUCGGCAAUGGGGGCAACGCUGACCGAGCAACGCCGGGUGAGUGAAGAAGGGUUUCGGAUCGUAAAGCUCUGUUGUAAGUCAAGAACGGGUGUGAGAGUGGAAAGUUCACACUGUGACGGUAGCUUACCAGAAAGGGACGGCUAACUACGUG
rnacentral:rRNA from 1 species